GGGGGGAGCGCCGGAUCCUGGGCUGUGUCCCCGGCGCCAUGUGCUCCGGGGCCUGUGCUGUUGGAUUCGCGCUCUCGGCUGCCCAGCCCCUU
rnacentral:pre_miRNA from 1 species